AUAAAGGUUGUGGCACAUCCUUGUCAGAACAAGCUUUUCCUUGGUGGACACUGUUUAUUUUCUACAAACAAUAAAGCCAAAUUUCACUGGUUGGAGCAUCAGAGAUGCUCUUCUGAUCUUAGAAGCUGGUUUGUCCAAUUUCCUCUUGCAGCUCAGAUUUCUCAGCCCUCAAGGACUCUCUGGGCAACCCUGACAGCUUUCCUGAAAAAGGCUAGAGAAGGAAUGAUGGAUGGGGGUCAGAAGUAUGCCUUUCUUAUCUAUCCAUAGUCUUGGAUACCAUAUAAUAAAGAGGACAACACCAGUGAGGUGAUGGCAGUCUUGCAAGGUUAUCAGCACAGCAGGACUGAGGAAUGUGAAAGCUUUCUCAAAGCCUACUGCCUAUCAGAUACCCAGGGAGAUGAUUUUAGGUGGGGCACAAACCACACAAAGGGCACAGUGCAGUGUUGCAGGCACCACAGCAUCACAGACAGUACAAAAUGGAUCAGAAAGGGAUUAGUUGUGGGUUAACACAAAGUCUAAGGAAAGCCCUUCUUGGUCACUGAAAUGCUGAGGUAUGAGGCUGUUUGGUGUCAGAUUUUCUCCCAUCUCUGUUGCUGGCUGGAAUUGGGAUCCUGACCUGGGCUCUCCCUACAGGUUCUCCAUCGUCCUGCUCUGCGCUGGUAGCGCUGCUCAUCCUGAUGGUGAUGGUGAGCGGGGUCCUGCUGUGGCUCUACCUGAAGAGCAGGUGCACUGGAACAGGCCAAGCUGCAGCCCUUAAAUGUCCCAGGGAGCGAGGUGCCUCUGCAAUGCCCUUCCAGACUGCAGGAGCCAUCUACCAUCCAGCUGAAGGACAAUUCCACAAGGAUGCUGAUACAGAGACAACUGAGCUCAUCAGAGAAGAUGCUCUCUUGUGAUGCUGGUACAAUCCCUUCUGCAGAAGCAGCACUAUCAGCCCACAUUGUGGGGUCAUCAGCCAAGCUCAUUCCUCUUUUCCUCCUGCAUCUCAUUUUUCAGAGCAAAUGCUUUUUCCCUUAAGCUUCUGCAGAACUGCAGGAAGCCCUCACAUGCUUUCGAGGAGACUGCAAAGCACAGCUUAUGGGCUGGACAUUUAUAAAACAGUCUGUACCAAUGACUUAUACUCAGGAGCCCCAAAACAGCUAUCCAAAGUCUUCUGAAGGUUGUUUGAUCCAGGUCAAUUUCAGAGGUUUUCCGAUGGCAUGUACCAGACAGUAGGACAGCCUGGUGGCCGUGCAGCCUGACAUCAAGCUGAGCAGAGUAGCAGGGAAUCUGAAACAGGACUAAAACUGCUACUGCUAACAAAUUAAAGGAGAAGUGUGUCCCCAACCCUUCCAGCUGUGGUGAGCAUUAAUGCUGUGACAUGUAACGCUCUGUGCUCCUCUGCAGGGGAGCCAGCCAGGGCUGCCUGGUGCCUCCUGCAUUGGGUGGCUUCCCUCAACCUAGCAAACACAGGCAAGCCCCCAUUUCUUGUCUAUACCAGGCACAAGAUUGUAUUCUUGGCUGAGCUAACAGUGUUGCCAGCAGGUCAAGAAACAACUCCUCCCCUCUAUUUAGCACUGGUGAGGGUGCAACUGUAAUGCUGGAUCCAGUUCUGAAUCUGCCAAUACAAGAAAGACAUGGACACACCAGAAAGAGUCUAAUGGCAUUCAAAAGGAAGAUGUAUGAACACAUCCAGGUGCGUAUCCACAAAGGUGCUUUCACAGACACAGAGUGCCCAAUGUGAAAAAAAUUCAGCUCCAGAAGACAUUUAGGAAGACCAAGGAUAGCAUCUCAAACACAACAGAUAAGUGCUUCCAAGCAAUGGUCUACCGAGUGUGAGUUGUUUAGAGCACUGUCUCAAGUGUUUCAGACAGACAGAACAAACACUCUGAACGAUGGCAGACAGUGCUGUCUGUGAGAUCCUCAGUGACUACUGUGCCUCGUGGAAUGUUAAAUGGUGUCACGUUACCAAGGGGGACUGGGUACAGAGAGGGAGACAGCAUGGCAACAUUCUGCCUCUUUCAGUCUUGCCAGCUCAAGGCAGUAUGGGUAGGUUGUGCCUGAACAUGUCCAGUCCUAUCUCUAACUUUGGAGGGGCUGGUUUCUUUCCAAUGCUCAUCAGUGCUAAUCUAUGUAUCAGCUAUAUUCAUUAUUUACAAUAGAUUACAAACCAUAUACAGCAAAAUAAAUUCCUCUUGCCUUACUGCCUUCAUUACUUAGCCAUGUGAUAAAGAUCUGGAGCAGAAUGCAGACAGCAGCCAGCUACACAGACAUGGUAUGGGUGCUGCAUCUGCAAAUACAGUGACUCAUUAAGGGACUGAGAUACAUUAAUCAACUGCAUCUAGAAGAGGAUAGUUCAUGGAUAAACUGUCCUUCUUAAAUCAAAGUCUUGACAUUAGGAGCAAUAAUAAAAAAAUAAACCCCAUGCAAACCUUC